AUGGUGCGCGGAUGUUCUGACAGCGGAAGCGUUGGCGCUGAGGUUUUGGCACAAAAGGCGGGCUGCAAUCGUCUUGUAAUUAAUUCUGACAACAUGGAAGUCAUUGACACAAUGAACAAUGGAGGACAUUCUGCAGGAGCGGCGGCGGUAGUUUUUGAUGAUUGUUAUUUUUUGGCUUAUGAUUUUCCUCUUACUAGGUUUAAACAUUGUAAUAGGGAAGCGAAUAAAGUAGCUCACGAGCUUGCUAGAUUAGCGAAAAGUUCAUUGACAAGGGAUUGGUAUGAGGAGCCAAUGGGAAAUAUUGUACCCCUUCUUAUAGACGUUGUAACCAUUGUUUCUAAUUAA
rnacentral:rRNA from 1 species